rnacentral:rRNA from 12 species
AAUAGAAAUAAAUUAAUUAAGUAAAUAUUUAAAUAAAUAUAAAUAGAUGAAAACGAAAACAAAGUGCG